UAAUACCGCAUAACGUCGCAAGACCAAAGAGGGGGACCUUCGGGCCUCUUGCCAUCAGAUGUGCCCAGAUGGGAUUAGCUAGUUGGUGAGGUAACGGCUCACCAAGGCGACGAUCCCUAGCUGGUCUGAGAGGAUGACCAGCCACACUGGAACUGAGACACGGUCCAGACUCCUACGGGAGGCAGCAGUGGGGAAUAUUGCACAAUGGGCGCAAGCCUGAUGCAGCCAUGCCGCGUGUAUGAAGAAGGCCUUCGGGUUGUAAAGUACUUUCAGCGGGGAGGAAGGUGUUGUGGUUAAUAACCGCAGCAAUUGACGUUACCCGCAGAAGAAGCACCGGCUAACUCCGUGCCAGCAGCCGCGGUAAUACGGAGGGUGCAAGCGUUAAUCGGAAUUACUGGGCGUAAAGCGCACGCAGGCGGUCUGUCAAGUCGGAUGUGAAAUCCCCGGGCUCAACCUGGGAACUGCAUUCGAAACUGGCAGGCUUGAGUCUUGUAGAGGGGGGUAGAAUUCCAGGUGUAGCGGUGAAAUGCGUAGAGAUCUGGAGGAAUACCGGUGGCGAAGGCGGCCCCCUGGACAAAGACUGACGCUCAGGUGCGAAAGCGUGGGGAGCAAACAGGAUUAGAUACCCUGGUAGUCCACGCCGUAAACGAUGUCUACUUGGAGGUUGUGCCCUUGAGGCGUGGCUUCCGGAGCUAACGCGUUAAGUAGACCGCCUGGGGAGUACGGCCGCAAGGUUAAAACUCAAAUGAAUUGACGGGGGCCCGCACAAGCGGUGGAGCAUGUGGUUUAAUUCGAUGCAACGCGAAGAACCUUACCUGGUCUUGACAUCCACGGAAGUUUUCAGAGAUGAGAAUGUGCCUUCGGGAACCGUGAGACAGGUGCUGCAUGGCUGUCGUCAGCUCGUGUUGUGAAAUGUUGGGUUAAGUCCCGCAACGAGCGCAACCC
rnacentral:rRNA from 1 species